CUACUACUCCCUCCGUCUGGAAAUACUCAUCAUCAAAAUGAAUAAAAGGAGAUGUAUCUAGACUUAUUUUAGUUUUAGAUACAUCCCUUUUUGUCCAUUUUGAUGACAAGUAUUUUCGGACGGAGGGAGUACAAA
rfam:Triticum aestivum genome assembly, contig: Triticum_aestivum_CS42_TGACv1_scaffold_499564_6BL